rnacentral:rRNA from 1 species
GUCUAUAUUAGAAUCACAAAUUUAGAGAAGCAAGCUUGGAAGCUAAGCAGGGUUGGGCCUGGUUAGUACUUGGAUGGGAGACCACCUAGGAAGACCAGGUGCUAUAGGCA